rnacentral:miRNA from 10 species
GGGUUGUGACUGGAGCAAUCUG